AGCCCAGUAGUGUGUUCACGCCAAAGUGCAAAUUUGGAAACGCACCCCAAACGGUGCCGGGGCUU
rnacentral:tRNA from 1 species